rnacentral:rRNA from 1 species
UACAGAGGUCUCAAGCGUUGUUCGGAUUCAUUGGGCGUAAAGGGCGCGUAGGCGGCGGGGUAAGUCGGGUGUGAAAUCUCAGAGCUCAACUCUGAAACUGCACUCGAUACUGCUCUGCUUGAGGACUGGAGAGGAGACUGGAAUUCACGGUGUAGCAGUGAAAUGCGUAGAUAUCGUGAGGAAGACCAGUGGCGAAGGCGUGUCUCUGGACAGUUCCUGACGCUGAGGCGCGAAGGCCAGGGGAGCAAACGGG